rnacentral:ncRNA from 1 species
AAUCACUUAGUGGAAAAGGAAGUGAUCGAGCGAUAAUAACCAAUAGGUGGGCUUGGAAGCAACCAACCUUUGAAGAAAGUGUAAUAGCUUAGUGGUUUAGCUCCGUGGCACCGAUGUCUCAAGGCUCAAGUGAUU